rnacentral:rRNA from 1 species
UACGUAGGUGGCGAGCGUUGUCCGGAUUUACUGGGCGUAAAGAGCGCGCAGGCGGUCGUACAAGUCGCGUGUGAAAGCCCCCGGCUCAACUGGGGAGGGUCACGCGAUACUGUUCGACUCGAAGGCAGGAGAGGGUAGUGGAAUUCCCGGUGUAGUGGUGAAAUGCGUAGAUAUCGGGAGGAACACCAGUGGCGAAGGCGACUACCUGGCCUGUUCUUGACGCUGAGGCGCGAAAGCUAGGGUAGCAAACAGG